CAUCCCAGGUGGCCUUCUCACCAGCUCUGGGCUCUCCCUGAGGGGGUUUCCAGGAUGGGGUUUUCUACUGGGUCUUUCAAAAGUCAGCAAUAUGCCCAAAACCUUCUGGAAAAUACCUUCAUCUAAAGAAGCCAAAUUAAGGCAGCAGGAUGCCAUGGAAAGAGGUGGAUGUGGAGAUGCAGCUAAGGGGAAGAGGCAGCUCACAUGGAGUUGACUGCAUGCUUUGCUGGAUUGAGAGCCACGGCUGGAUCUGACCAUGGUGAGGGCAGUGGGAGGCAGCCCUGAGAACAUAGGACCAUGGCCUAUUGCUACUCCAUCCAAAGUCUCUCACCCCAGAGGCAUUAUGGUACAUGGAAAGAAGCUUGCUGCUGGUCCUGGUACAGAAAUGAAUGAGGAGUAUCAUGGACAAAGCAAAGACCUCUCUGUCAUUCAAAGAGCUUCCCACAAUGUGGUAGUUGAAGAUGGCUAAUUUUCAUAACAGUGAGGAAAAAGGCCUGAAGUGAAAUGAAGCCAGAGUGAAAAUUGGUGCUGUGAUUGUGCCCUAAGGACCCAACACAGUACCCAUGCCAGAAGAUGCUCCACAGAAGUACCGAUGCUUGACAUCCCAGUCACACUCCUGGAUCCUGAUUCUCAUCAUGCCAUUCUUUUAUGAAGAGUCUUUCAGUGGUUCCCACUGCCAGCAGCCUUGUUAAAAGUUCUGGAUGCUGGAAUUUCAAGACGAAUGUGCUGACAGAUUCGAUGUCUGGUGAGAUCUGCUUGCUCUGCAUCUAAGACGGUGCCUUGAAUGUUACAUCUUCACAUGGCAGAAGGAGAGGAACAUUAAAGAGCAGGAAGGCUAAAACUCAUUUGGUAUGAGGGAAUUGAAGGCCAAGAUAGAGGAAGAGAUGGAGAACCACAUGAUCAACUUUGAGUUACAAUAUCAAGAUGCUGACAAAUUGGGUA